GGUUAACGCUGGCGGGCGUGCCUAACACAUGCAAGUCGAACGGUUCUAAGCGCGAGCUUAGGAUAGUGGCGAACGGGUGAGUAAAAGGUAGGAAUCUACCCCUUGGACGGAGAUAGCUACUGGAAACGGUAGGUAAACUUCGAUAAGCCCGAGAGGGGAAAGUGGUGAGACAGCCGAGGGAUGAGCCUACUCUCCAUCAGGUAGUUGGUGAGAUAAAAGCUUACCAAGCCGAUGACGGAUAACCGGUGUGAGAGCAUGAACGGUCACAAGGGCACUGAGAGACGGGCCCUACUCCUACGGGAGGCAGCAGUGGGGAAUCUUGGACAAUGGGCGAAAGCCUGAUCCAGCGACGCCGCGUGGAGGAAGAAGUCCUUCGGGAUGUAAACUUCUGAACUAGCCGAAUAAAAGGCCUGUGGACACACAGGAGAAGAAAGUAGGCUAGGAAAAGUCCCGGCUAACUACGUG
rnacentral:rRNA from 1 species